AUAUUAUCUCUUCCAUUCUUCUUAUCUCUCCCUUUAUUUGCAUUGUGAUCGUCCUUAUUUGUUUCCUUCCUCCCUCCAUUUUCUUUAUCUUCCCUGUGUUAGCUCUCGUAAUCGUCUAUAUUCGUCCUCCUUCCCUCCUUAUCUUUUCAUUUUUCUAGGCCAUUAUCUUCGCUCAUGUCCGUGUCCUGUAAUUACUCGCCCCGUGUUAUCUGUUUUAUCUGUCUGUUCCGCAUCUCGUUAUCACGCUCCUCCGAUCUUUAUCUCUCUGUCGUGGCGAACUUGUUUUUUCUCUCCGCGCGUCAUAAUUAUGUUGUACUCACUCACUUAUCUUCAUCAUCGCUUGGCUAGUCACUCUUGUUGUCUCGUCUUCUUUGCGUUCAGUCACCUUUUCUUUCUUGUAUCCUAAUUUAUCGUAUUUAUUUUUUUCAUUCACAACUUCGUCUUCUCUUUAUUCUCUUAGGUCUCCAUUUCUUCCGAUUAUUGUCUUCUUUUCCUCUUUAUUCUCUUAGGUCUCCAUUUCUUCCGAUUAUUGUCUUCUUUUCCUCUUUAUUCUCUUAUGUCUCCAUUUCUUCCGAUUGUUGUCUUCUUUUCCUCUUUAUUCUCUUAGGUCUCCAUUUCUUACGAUUGUUGUCUUCUUUUCCUCUUUAUUCUCUUAGGUCUCCAUUUCUUCCGAUUAUUGUCUUCUUUUCCUCUUUAUUCUCUUAGGUCUCCAUUUCUUCCGAUUAUUGUCUUCUUUUCCUCUUUAUUCUCUUAGGUCUCCAUUUCUUCCGAUUAUUGUCUUCUUUUCCUCUUUAUUCUCUUAGGUCUCCAUUUCUUCCGAUUAUUGUCUUCUUUUCCUCUUUAUUCUCUUAGGUCUCCAUUUCUUCCGAUUAUUGUCUUCUUUUCCUCUUUAUUCUCUUAGGUCUCCAUUUCUUACGAUUAUUGUCUUCUUUUCCUCUUUAUUCUCUUAGGUCUCCAUUUCUUCCGAUUAUUGUCUUCUUUUCCUCUUUAUUCUCUUAGGUCUCCAUUUCUUCCGAUUAUUGUCUUCUGUUCCUUUAGUCGCCUUCCUUUUCUUCCUUCCAUCUUAGUUUCUUACUCAUUUUUUUCUCCUUCACUCUUUAGUCUUCCUUUUUUUCCUUUCACUUCUCCAUUUUCACCUCGUUAGCUAAGCACACUCCAUUUCACCUCCCUCUUAUUUUCACCUAGCAUCUUCCCUUUCUUUCUUUUAUCCUAAUUCAGCAUUCAUUCUUUUUUCUCUUCCAUUUAUUCGUUUUCCAUUUAUCAUUUUUGUGGGGUUCUUGAAAGGUCUGGACUUCCGAAAAUCCCG